CCUACGGGAGGCAGCAGUGGGGAAUUUUGGACAAUGGGCGCAAGCCUGAUCCAGCAAUGCCGCGUGAGUGAAGAAGGCCUUCGGGUUGUAAAGCUCUUUUGUCAGGGAAGAAACGGGUCUUUCUAAUACAGAGAUCUAAUGACGGUACCUGAAGAAUAAGCACCGGCUAACUACGUGCCAGCAGCCGCGGUAAUACGUAGGGUGCAAGCGUUAAUCGGAAUUACUGGGCGUAAAGCGUGCGCAGGCGGUUUUGUAAGUUUGUCGUGAAAUCCCCGGGCUCAACCUGGGAAUGGCGAUGAAGACUGCAAGGCUAGAGUUUGGCAGAGGGGGGGUAGAAUUCCACGUGUAGCAGUGAAAUGCGUAGAUAUGUGGAGGAACACCGAUGGCGAAGGCAGCCCCCUGGGUCAAACUGACGCUCAUGCACGAAAGCGUGGGGAGCAAACAGGAUUAGAUACCCUGGUAGUCCACGCCCUAAACGAUGUCUACUAGUUGUCGGGUCUUAAUUGACUUGGUAACGCAGCUAACGCGUGAAGUGACCGCCUGGGGAGUACGGUCGCAAGNUUAAAACCGUNAAUGAAUUGACGGNNGAGAGUGCGACGGACGACGACGAGGGAGGAGG
rnacentral:rRNA from 1 species